CGACCUGCGCGGCUACUUCGUCUGGUCCUUCAUGGACGUGUUCGAGUUUCUCUUCUCCUACAGGUUCCGCUUCGGUCUCUACGGCGUGGACUUCGCCGCCGACAACCGGACGAGGUACGCUCGGCGCUCCGCGCGAUGGUACGCCGGCUUCCUCCGCGGCGGCGGCGGCGACCUCACGCCCGCCGCCGCCGCCUCUGUUUCAACGCGGACACACGGCUCCACCUAUUCGGAGUGAAAAUCAGCCGCACGUGUCUGUGUUAUAGAUUCAUCGCGAGUGAACAAGUACAUGAUGGAUGUUCUUCACCC
rnacentral:lncRNA from 1 species